rnacentral:rRNA from 1 species
CGGUAACAGGAAGCAGCUUGCUGCUUUGCUGACGAGUGGCGGACGGGUGAGUAAUGUCUGGGAAACUGCCUGAUGGAGGGGGAUAACUACUGGAAACGGUGGCUAAUACCGCAUAACGUCGCAAGACCAAAGAGGGGGACCUUCGGGCCUCUUGCCAUCAGAUGUGCCCAGAUGGGAUUAGCUUGUUGGUGAGGUAACGGCUCACCAAGGCGACGAUCCCUAGCUGGUCUGAGAGGAUGACCAGCCACACUGGAACUGAGACACGGUCCAGACUCCUACGGGAGGCAGCAGUGGGGAAUAUUGCACAAUGGGCGCAAGCCUGAUGCAGCCAUGCCGCGUGUAUGAAGAAGGCCUUCGGGUUGUAAAGUACUUUCAGCGGGGAGGAAGGUGUUGUGGUUAAUAACCGCAGCAAUUGACGUUACCCGCAGAAGAAGCACCGGCUAACUCCGUGCCAGCAGCCGCGGUAAUACGGAGGGUGCAAGCGUUAAUCGGAAUUACUGGGCGUAAAGCGCACGCAGGCGGUCUGUCAAGUCGGAUGUGAAAUCCCCGGGCUCAACCUGGGAACUGCAUUCGAAACUGGCAGGCUUGAGUCUUGUAGAGGGGGGUAGAAUUCCAGGUGUAGCGGUGAAAUGCGUAGAGAUCUGGAGGAAUACCGGUGGCGAAGGCGGCCCCCUGGACAAAGACUGACGCUCAGGUGCGAAAGCGUGGGGAGCAAACAGGAUUAGAUACCCUGGUAGUCCACGCCGUAAACGAUGUCUACUUGGAGGUUGUGCCCUUGAGGCGUGGCUUCCGGAGCUAACGCGUUAAGUAGACCGCCUGGGGAGUACGGCCGCAAGGUUAAAACUCAAAUGAAUUGACGGGGGCCCGCACAAGCGGUGGAGCAUGUGGUUUAAUUCGAUGCAACGCGAAGAACCUUACCUGGUCUUGACAUCCACGGAAGAAUUCAGAGAUGGAUUUGUGCCUUCGGGAACCGUGAGACAGGUGCUGCAUGGCUGUCGUCAGCUCGUGUUGUGAAAUGUUGGGUUAAGUCCCGCAACGAGCGCAACCCUUAUCCUUUGUUGCCAGCGGUCCGGCCGGGAACUCAAAGGAGACUGCCAGUGAUAAACUGGAGGAAGGUGGGGAUGACGUCAAGUCAUCAUGGCCCUUACGACCAGGGCUACACACGUGCUACAAUGGCGCAUACAAAGAGAAGCGACCUCGCGAGAGCAAGCGGACCUCAUAAAGUGCGUCGUAGUCCGGAUUGGAGUCUGCAACUCGACUCCAUGAAGUCGGAAUCGCUAGUAAUCGUGGAUCAGAAUGCCACGGUGAAUACGUUCCCGGGCCUUGUACACACCGCCCGUCACACCAUGGGAGUGGGUUGCAAAAGAAGUAGGUAGCUUAACCUUCGGGAGGGCGCUUACCACUUUGUGAUUCAUGACUGGGGUGAAGUCGUAACAAGGUAACCGUAGGGGAACCUGCGGUUGGAUCACCUCCUUACCUGAAAGAAGC